rnacentral:rRNA from 1 species
UACGGAGGGGGCUAGCGUUGUUCGGAAUUACUGGGCGUAAAGCGCACGUAGGCGGAUUGUUAAGUCGGGGGUGAAAUCCCGGGGCUCAACCCCGGAACUGCCUUCGAUACUGGCAAUCUUGAGGUCGGGAGAGGUGAGUGGAAUGGCGAGUGUAGAGGUGAAAUUCGUAGAUAUUCGCCGGAACACCAGUGGCGAAGGCGGCUCACUGGCCCGAUACUGACGCUGAGGUGCGAAAGCGUGGGGAGCAAACGGG